CGCGACGGCGGCGGCGGCGGAGGGAUCCGGGAUGUGCCUGCUGGUGCUGGGGCCCGCGGGAGGCGGCAAGACGCUGCUGGUGAAGCGACUGCAGAAGCUGACCUCUGGAGAGACAAAGGGAGACCUCGGAGAUCCCCCCCCGACGCAGCCCACGGUGGGCACGAACCUCACCGACCUCGUGGUCCAGAGGAAGAUGGUGGUCAGGGAGCUGGGUGGGCGCAUGGCCCCAAUCUGGCCCAGCUACUACGGAAGCGCACGCGCCGUCAUGUUCGUCAUCGACGCUUCCGACCCCACUCAGCUGUCGUCGUCCUGCGCCCAGCUCCUCAGCGUCCUGUCCGCGGAGCAGCUGGCCACGGCGCCCGUCCUCGUCCUCUUCAACAAGAUCGACCUGCCGUCUUACAUGACCCCGGAGGAGAUGGAGGGCCUGCUCCGCCUCCCGGACAUCAUCGCCACCGCCGGCCGGCCCGUCGCCACCGCCCGCGUCAGCGCCCGGGACGGCACCGGCCUGACCCAGGUCCUCCGCUGGCUGCGGGACGCCCGCCUCGCCCCAUCCCACCGACCCAGCUAGCCUCCCGGCGGGGAGGAAGGCCCGCGGCCCCAGGUGGCGACGACCAGGAGGACGGUCAUUGCGGAUAACCAAUAAUGACGACGUCAUGGCGAUUGGGAUCUUAAUAAUAAUGACCGGAAGCUCGACGUGGCCGGGGAACGUGUCAGCCGACUCUCUCGUAUCUUACUCUCCCAAGUACUUAGCACAGCGCUCUGCACGUGGUGAGCGCUCAAUAGACGCCGCCGAUCGAUCAGUCGCUCCGCACACGGUAAACGCACGGGAAACGCUAUCGAUUAAUCGAUUGAUUUCUCCUCUGAUUGGGCCUCUCCCUUAUGGCGCUUGGGUCUUUCCCCCCGGGAGGCGGAGGUCGUGUCCACUGUAAAUCCGUGGUAUUUACUGAGCGCUUACUCUGUGCA